CUUCUUGAUUAGCUGAAGUCUUGUAUUUUGAUAAGAAAGGCUGGUCCAUCUGUGUUACUAGAAUGCACACAGUUGUGGACUGAAGGGUCAUUUUCAAUAGUGCUAAUUAUUUUAAAAGCAGAUGGAAGGAUGCUGAGGCUAUGUGUCUUGCACUGUAAUUUCCUAGGAAGAGUCUGUCAAGGCAUGAGGUAGUGGCAGGCAUUUCUGCUCUCUUUAGUCUGUAUUUCAUUGACAGUUAAGAACUCAAGAGCCUAAUUCUCAGUUAAGAUUGGAUCAUAAUACAGGAAAGAUAAAGCAAACACUGCAAAUGCAGUUGGUGUGAGCUCAGAAGAAAAGAGUUCAGAUAUAUAAACACUUUCURUGGUUAAUCUAUCACUUUCUAUGGUUAAUGUGUCAAAUUAAAUUCUCUUGAAAACUGGUAAUGCAGAAAGCCUGAUUUCUGCCCCUAACUGGUAAACAGAUGCGAGUUGGUUCAUUGCCACCAGCUGCUGAAAACUUCUGCAUAACUUGAGCUUCAGUUACAUCAAAUGAAAAGAAAUGGAAAUGACAGCAAAGCAGUGCUAGGCAGUUGAUGAUUACAAGUUGCAGCAGAUAAUUACAAGUUGUAACUUUACUCUUCUGAAACUCUGCCUACCUUUUAAAAAUAAUUUUCUUUACAACUAAAAAGCAUCCCAAAAGUGUCUCAUGCCAGCACCUUAACAGGCUGUAAGGAAGAGGCAAUAAAUAAAAAGGGUGGUGGUGUUUGUGGUCGGUCCCAGUUUUAUUCAUUCUGCGUGACUGACAUGCAGGGGAAAAACGCCAAUACACAUGUAUCUGCAAAUUAUACAAAGCUAGAAGGCAAUCAAAAUGCUGAGGAGAAAAUAACAUGCCAGAAGACCUGAYGACAUAGCARGRAGGCCCUCAGCCUGAACAACUGGUCGGGGCUCUGGCCCGCGAAGACGAAGGCCGGACACUCGGACCUGCAGCCCUCGCCUGGGUCAGGGCCGCUCGCGAACGUCUCCUCGCACGUGAUGGACAGGAAGAUCUGGAAACAUCUACAAGAAAAACGUGCUGAAGCUGUUUGCCCAGCCUGUGAUGCCCGGUGGUGUUUUGGUAACGUUGCCCUUCACGGAGCUGGGAGCAGCKUUCGGCUGCGUCGCGUCUGUGCCGAGGUCAGUGCGUCACCGAAGCCAUGUGGCAGACAGCAAAGCUUUUGGAGAAAUGGAUAUCCUGCCAGUGAGCAACACGGGAGCAGAGCUUAUGAGGAAUUUACCCUAGCAGUUCAGUGAUUUAUGUUAGCAGGUUUCAUCAUCUGCUUCGUGAACAUUAAGUAAUUGCACAAACAAUAGGUUAUAUCUAGGUGAACACAAAGAGUACGUGUUUAGCCAGGGCUAUAACACAAUCUAAAUUAGGGUUGGGAUAUUUUCUUAUGUUUUCUGCUAAGCCAUUUUAUCGCAUA